ensembl:lncRNA
UUACAGGCGGGUGGACAACACCCCUGGAGCCACAGAGCUCGGUUUCCCCCCCAGCGGCAGGAGCAACUCUCAGCAGCCAGGCAGCGGGGCGGCACGGCCAAAGGCCGCAGUCGGGAUCCCAGCCCCGAUUCCAGGGAGGGCGCAAGCCCCACCCCGCAUCUCACGGCCCCGCGCCUCUGAAAGGCCGGGGCCACAUUCCCACCUGAGUACAGGGGGUCUCUCAGAACGCAGCUCACCAAGCACACACGGGGGGCACACACAGCCCUGCCUACAGGACGGUACCCCCACACCUCACCCUCUUCAAGAAGCCCCGCGGAGCACGAGGCUCCCGCCAACGCCUGAGUUACAGGCUGGCCCGCCCGGCAGCAGCAGAACAUCACCAACGUCUCGUCUUUGGAAGCCCAGGGAGCUACCUCGACCCACCGAGCGGGGAGGUCACCCCACACACAAACAGCACCUCAACCUGCACCCUCUGACGGGACAGGGAGGGGUCACUCCCACCAGCUGGACGGCUAAAGCAGCCGGCUGCAACGCUGCAGCCUCCCCACACCUGAUUACAGGGCGGGCGGGCUGCUCAGGGACAGAGGGCUCCAAAGCUUGGGACACACACCCCGAGUACGGGGCCGUCGCAUUGACAAGCCACCAUCAGGCAACGAUGCCGAGGGGCCGGGGGAGGAAGAGGGGCAGGGAAACGGCACUACCCUGCUUACAGGGUGGCCUCGGGGUCCGGCGAGCUCCAUUUCCCACUCAGGUGCGGAGAGGUGGCUCUCGCCCUCCGUUACAGGGGGCCACGCUCCCCAGGCAGCCAAAGGAGCAGCAAGGCAAAAGGCCAACUACAGCAAAGACCCGAGCCCCGCUUACGGGGAGGUCGCCCAGCACAACGCCAGCCUGGUCACCAAAGGCGCCGGCAGCUCUCAACUCAAACGUGACUGUGCCCCUGCUAACGGGACAGGUGCUUUGCCCAGGGAGCCUCUCUCCUUCCCCCCCGCAUCUGCACGCUUCCGCUUCCUCUUCUUGCUUGCUCCUGCCUCCCAGCUCCCCACGCCGCUUCUUCUUCUUCCUUCUGCAGCAGCUCCUGAAACAUCAGCGGGGACACCGUUAGACCUGCAGGGUGGCAAGCCCCCCCACC